CAGAUUUCGUCGCGGCAGCUGUCGAGCCACGACGGAACGGUGCUCUGCCUGUGUGCUCCGCCGCCACACAACGAGGCGGCAGCACUGUUUCUGUUGCGCGCGACGUGACGGCGCCGCGGUCUGUCGGUUGAUGGUUUUUGUCCCGUUCUGUCGACACCUCUCUGAAUACACGCGUUUGUUUCUUUAUAUGAGGCAGGAAGUGCCUCAUUUUGCGCAGCAGCCCGCUCACUCCUCUCCUCUCUCCUCUCUGCUCUCUCUGCUCUAAGUACCCUAGCACAUUGAGAAAAACAGCUCAAAUAGCUACUUUGAUCACGAUUUUGAGCGAUUUGAAAGCCGAUUCAGAAGAAGUUUUAGUUGAAGAAAAGAUAGAUCAAGUCAUAAUUUCAUCACUUUGUGAAGUCAUUUGGAGUUUCUAGAGUAAGAUUUGCCGUGCAAAGUGAACUACGAAGUUGAAGGUGAAAAAAUAUCAUCUGAGUGGCAAACAAUGAGGAGAUGACGUGAUUGAAGAAACUGUGUUUCGAUCUUCGAUGUCCCUUUUGAGGUUGACUCCAUUGAUAUAUUACUGGUGAUAUGUUCAUGCUGACGGAUUUUUUUGAACUAUUAUGGCGCUUAAUUUUAUUCGGAACAACAUUCAUAUUGAAGUUGAGGUAUAAAUGACGCUGUGUAAUUUUGUAAAUAUUUUUUAUAUUGAUGUACUGUUGUGAAUGAUGUUACUGAUGCUGCAAAUAUUUCUAGCAGAAAUAUGGUAUUUGUUUAGUCA